rnacentral:lncRNA from 1 species
CUGCCUCACAAUGACGACGGGCAUGACCUUCUUCCUGAGAUCGGGUUUCCCCUUCUUUUUGACUUCUCCUUCUAGUCCCCCUUUGGCUUCCCCCCUCUGCAGGAUCGAGAAGUACUCGCACUCGAGGAUGUGUCACAAACACGACCGGAUCUGUCUCUUCUACCCUCGCCUUCUUCGCCAACCCAGAAGCUGCAGUGCCUUCCCUC